rnacentral:tRNA from 1 species
AUAGUAGAGAAUAAAUUUAAGCUGCUAACUUUAAAUUUUAGCGGUUAAACUCCGUUACUACUAUU